UACGGGGGGGGCAAGCGUUGUUCGGAAUUACUGGGCGUAAAGGGCUCGUAGGCGGCCAACUAAGUCAGACGUGAAAUCCCCAGGCUCAACCUGGGAACUGCGUCUGAUACUGGAUGGCUUGAAUUCGGUAGAGGGAUGCAGAAUUCCAGGUGUAGCGGUGAAAUGCGUAGAUAUCUGGAGGAAUGCCGAUGGCGAAAGCAGCAUCCUGGAGCGACAUUGACGCUGAUGAACGAAAGCUAGGGGAGCAAACGGG
rnacentral:rRNA from 1 species